GCUUGCUUUUUUGAUGACGAGUGGCGCACGGGUGCGUAACGCGUAUACAAUCUACCUUGUACAGGGGGAUAGCCUUUGGAAACGAAGAUUAAUACCCCAUAGUAUUUAGAUACGGCAUCGUAUCUAUCUUAAAAUUUUGGUGGUACAAGAUGAGUAUGCGUCCUAUUAGUUAGUUGGUAAGGUAACGGCUUACCAAGGCAUCGAUAGGUAGGGGUCCUGAGAGGGAGAUCCCCCACACUGGUACUGAGACACGGACCAGACUCCUACGGGAGGCAGCAGUGAGGAAUAUUGGACAAUGGUCGGAAGACUGAUCCAGCCAUGCCGCGUGUAGGAAGACUGCCCUAUGGGUUGUAAACUACUUUUAUACAGGAAGAAUAAGGCUUACGUGUAGGCUGAUGACGGUACUGUAAGAAUAAGCACCGGCUAACUCCGUGCCAGCAGCCGCGGUAAUACGGAGGGUGCAAGCGUUAUCCGGAAUCAUUGGGUUUAAAGGGUCCGUAGGCGGGCUAUUAAGUCAGAGGUGAAAGUUUGUGGCUCAACCAUAAAAUUGCCUUUGAUACUGGUAGUCUUGAAUUAUUGUGAAGUGGUUAGAAUAUGUAGUGUAGCGGUGAAAUGCUUAGAUAUUACAUAGAAUACCGAUUGCGAAGGCAGAUCACUAACAAUAUAUUGACGCUGAUGGACGAAAGCGUAGGUAGCGAACAGGAUUAGAUACCCAGGUAGUCUACGCCGUAACGAUGGUUACUAGCUGUGUGGUUUCGUAACUGCGUGGCUAAGCGAAAGUGAUAAGUAACCCACCUGGGGAGUACGUUCGCAAGGAUGAAACUCAAGGAAUUGACGGGGCCCGCACAAGCGGUGGAGCAUG
rnacentral:rRNA from 1 species